CAGAUCUACGUUUAUUAACCUGAAUUAUAUUUUUCGAAUAUUUAUUUCUAAUUUUCUGCACACAUGUGGGAGAAUAACUGAGACGAAUAAACAUAAAUUAAAAAACAAUUUAUUAAAUCAGUACCAUUUCUUAACAACAUUUGGCUACCAUUGCUUAUACGUACUGAAUGUGUAACGACCCAACCAUACGUUUGAAAAACAUAUGAAAAAGUCAGAAUGUUUUUCGUGGUUGACUUUAAAGGUAUGAAAAGUAAUCCUGCACUCCAGGUGAAAUUAAAUGUAGCAAACGAGAUAAUUCGGCUGUUGUAGACGAAUAUUUAACUUGAACAAGAUAAUACGUCAUGAAAUACCACGAUGUUCCGUGACUACCAAGAUUUUCACGAUAAUUUUUGACGAAAAAUUCUCUCCGUGCAUAAAUGGAAAAUGGUUCAUCCGAGGUUGGCGAGCAUGAUUGCUCUUCGAUGUGGCUUCAAAGUUGACCUUAAGGGCAAAUGGCCAACGUGACGUCAACGAGCAGUUUAACCGGAAGGAUAAUGUACCGAGUACAGUUAAUUAGCACGGGCAGUCUAUAAUAAAAAAAUUCAAAAUUCGACUUAAAAAGAGUGUAUAUACAUCUCAGUGCUCAAAACUCUUGAAGAACCCUGAAGAGACCCUGAAUCUCAAGAAAUCUGAAAUUCCAGUAAACGGUACAGCAUCCCUUUGACAUUUGGUUAGCGUUCAAAAGUAUCCCUCAAGAAUUCUAAUUCCAACGAAAAUAUUUCCGAGCCGAGGGAGAAAUAUUUUGGAAUUACGUACAAUUUUAUAAAACAUAACAAUGCCGCGCAGGCACUAGGAAAAUGAAAUUUUAACGAACCAACACAGUGGAUGAUAAAGUGGGUGGCGUACAAUUUCCAAGUCACAAAUAAUUGCGAGUGUGAAUAUCGUGAGGACGGAAGGCACAGCAACCCUCGAUUAUUCAAAAUGGCUCCGCAACACUAUAUACCACUAUAUACAACAAGCAGAGCGUAAGGGUGAAAGUGGGUGGAGUAAGCGAGACAAACAGUUUCUGUUUCACGUACGUGCAGCCUCGCUAAAGCGCUCAAUUCCGCAAGGGUAACAACGGGCUAGUGGGAUCAGAGCUAGAAGGGUGAUCCCGAGUAGCACGGGUCUUUCCGGCGGCUUUAAGGGCGGGUUACCUCAAUGUGGACAUAAGGGUGCCGUUACAUGGGCGCCUUUCCGGCGAAAUGAGGCAAAUCAACCAUCCGAUAAAGCCAGACAGCUCGCGCACGCUUAACGAGCACGAUGAUCAAGUGAGAAAAUGAGUAAAGGCAUUGAAAUUCUCAUUGUUCAACAAAAAUAAA